rnacentral:rRNA from 1 species
GAUGAACGCUGGCGGCGUGCCUAAUACAUGCAAGUCGAGCGAACAGACGAGGAGCUUGCUCCUCUGACGUUAGCGGCGGACGGGUGAGUAACACGUGGAUAACCUACCUAUAAGACUGGGAUAACUUCGGGAAACCGGAGCUAAUACCGGAUAAUAUAUUGAACCGCAUGGUUCAAUAGUGAAAGACGGUUUUGCUGUCACUUAUAGAUGGAUCCGCGCCGCAUUAGCUAGUUGGUAAGGUAACGGCUUACCAAGGCAACGAUGCGUAGCCGACCUGAGAGGGUGAUCGGCCACACUGGAACUGAGACCCGGUCCAGACUCCUACGGGAGGCAGCAGUAGGGAAUCUUCCGCAAUGGGCGAAAGCCUUACGGAGCAACGCCGCGUGAGUGAUGAAGGUCUUCGGAUCGUAAAACUCUGUUAUUAGGGAAGAACAAAUGUGUAAGUAACUAUGCACGUCUUGACGGUACCUAAUCAGAAAGCCACGGCUAACUACGUG